UAGGGAAUCUUCGGCAAUGGACGGAAGUCUGAACGAGCAACGCCGCGGGAGUGAAGAAGGUUUUCGGAUCGUAAAGCUCUGUUGUUAGAGAAGAACGUUGGUAGGAGUGGAAAAUCUACCAAGUGACGGUAACUAACCAGAAAGGGACGGCUAACUACGUGCCAGCAGCCGCGGUAAUACGUAGGUCCCGAGCGUUGUCCGGAUUUAUUGGGCGUAAAGCGAGCGCAGGCGGUUCUUUAAGUCUGAAGUUAAAGGCGGUGGCUUAACCAUUGUACGCUUUGGAAACUGGAGGACUUGAGUGCAGAAGGGGAGAGUGAAAUUCCAUGUGUAGCGGUGAAAUGCGUAGAUAUAUGGAGGAACACCGGUGGCGAAAGCGGCUCUCUGGUCUGUAACUGACGCUGAGGCUCGAAAGCGUGGGGAGCAAACAGG
rnacentral:rRNA from 1 species